rnacentral:rRNA from 1 species
CCUACGGGCGGCUGCAGUGGGGAAUAUUGGACAAUGGGGGCAACCCUGAUCCAGCCAUGCCGCGUGUGUGAAGAAGGCCCUCGGGUUGUAAAGCACUUUCAGUGAGGAAGAACGCCUGGUGGUUAAUACCCAUCAGGAAAGACAUCACUCACAGAAGAAGCACCGGCUAACUCCGUGCCAGCAGCCGCGGUAAUACGGAGGGUGCGAGCGUUAAUCGGAAUUACUGGGCGUAAGGCGCGCGUAGGUGGCUUGAUAAGCCGGUUGUGAAAGCCCCGGGCUCAACCUGGGAACGGCAUCCGGAACUGUCAAGCUAGAGUGCAGGAGAGGAAGGUAGAAUUCCCGGUGUAGCGGUGAAAUGCGUAGAGAUCGGGAGGAAUACCAGUGGCGAAGGCGGCCUUCUGGACUGACACUGACACUGAGGUGCGAAAGCGUGGGUAGCAAACAGGAUUAGAUACCCUGGUAGUC